rnacentral:lncRNA from 1 species
AGUUUAGCAUCCAUAUAUAAAUAUGGGAAAACUCCAAUGCCACCCUUAUAAUUUCGUGCUUUCUCAUUUUAGUACCCUAUAAUUUAAAGUGUAUCACCUUAAUACUCUAUAGUUUUAUUUUUCUCUUUUCGUCAGCACCUCCGUUAACUCUUUAUUAAAUCAUAUACAAAAAAAACUUCAGAUAUCCCACCUAUGGUUUAUCAAAUAUUCCCUUUUACUAUCCUGUGGUUUACCGAAUUUUCUCUUUAGUAUCCUGUGAUUUUAACUUUGUCAUUGACUUAAUGAAAAAAAAUUAAUGGAGGGCAUAACGAAAAGAGAAAAAUAAAAAUGCAGAAUAUGAAAGUGAUACAUUUUAAAUAAUAUAGUAUUAAAGUGAGAAAGCGUGAAACCACAUGAGUGGUAUUUGAAGUUUUUUUCUAUAAAUAUUUAUUAUCGGAUGGCAAAUUAUUGCCUUAAGGAAAUGAUAAAAACUUCUAAUUUAUUUGGUUCAUAAAAGAAUCAUAAUCAAAAUUAUGUUCAAGUUGAAAUCUAAAAUAUUUAAAUUUUAUAUGAAAUUU